GAUGAACGCUAGCGGCAGGCUUAACACAUGCAAGUCGAGGGGCAGCAUGACACGGAGAUUCGUCAAAGUGUUGAUGGCGACCGGCGCAAGGGUGCGUAACGCGUGAGCAACUUGCCCGUUUCUGGGGAAUAACCGGUGGAAACGCCGACUAAUACCCCAUAGUAUCAACUUUAGGCAUCUUUAGUUGAUUAAAGAAUUUCGGAAACGGAUAGGCUCGCGUGACAUUAGCUAGAUGGCGGGGUAACGGCCCACCAUGGCGACGAUGUCUAGGGGUUCUGAGAGGAAGGUCCCCCACACUGGAACUGAGACACGGUCCAGACUCCUACGGGAGGCAGCAGUGAGGAAUAUUGGUCAAUGGUCGAAAAGACUGAACCAGCCAUGCCGCGUGAAAGGUGACGGCCCUAUGGGUCUUAAAACUUCUUUUGUAAGGGAGCAAUAAGGUUCACGUGUGGACUGAUGAGAGUACCUUACGAAUAAGCAUCGGCUAAACUCCGUGCCAGCAG
rnacentral:rRNA from 1 species